rfam:Porcine epidemic diarrhea virus isolate NPL-PEDv/2013, complete genome.
ACUUAAAAAGAUUUUCUAUCUACGGAUAGUUAGCUCUUUUUCUAGACUCUUGUCUACUCAAUUCAACUAAACGAAAUUUUGUCCUUCCGGCCGCAUGUCCAUGCUGCUGGAAGCUGACGUGGAAUUUCAUUAGGUUUGCUUAAGUAGCCAUCGCAAGUGCUGUGCUGUCCUCUAGUUCCUGGUUGGCGUUCCGUCGCCUUCUACAUACUAGACAAACAGCCUUCCUCCGGUUCCGUCUGGGGGUUGUGUGGAUAACUAGUUCCGUCUAGUUUGAAACCAGUAACUGUCGGCUAUGGCUAGCAACCAUGUUACAUUGGCUU